CAGUCGCCACGGUAAUACGUAGGUCCCGAGCGUUGUCCGGAUUUAUUGGGCGUAAGGCGAGCGCAGGCGGUUAGAUAAGUCUGAAGUUAAAGGCUGUGGCUUAACCAUAGUACGCUUUGGAAACUGUUUAACUUGAGUGCAAGAGGGGAGAGUGGAAUUCCAUGUGUAGCGGUGAAAUGCGUAGAUAUAUGGAGGAACACCGGUGGCGAAAGCGGCUCUCUGGCUUGUAACUGACGCUGAGGCUCGAAAGCGCGGGGAGCAAACAGGAUUAGAUACCCGAGUAGUCCCUGUCUCUUAUACA
rnacentral:rRNA from 1 species